GACGAACGCUGGCGGCGUGCUUAACACAUGCAAGUCGAACGGAAAGGCCCUGCUUUUGUGGGGUGCUCGAGUGGCGAACGGGUGAGUAACACGUGAGUAACCUGCCCUUGACUUUGGUAUAACUUCAGGAAACUGGGGCUAAUACCGGCUAGGAGCUCCUGCUGCAUGGUGGGGGUUGGAAAGGUUCGGCGGUUGGGGAUGGACUCGCGGCUUCUCAGCGUGUUGGUGGGGUAGUGGCUUACCCAGGCUUUGGCGGGUAGCCGGCCUGAGAGGGUGACCGGCCACAUUGGGACUGAGAUACGGGCCAGACGCCUACGGGAGGCAGCAGUGGGGAAUAUUGCACGAUGGGCGGAAGCCUGAUGCAGCAACGCCGCGUGCGGGAUGACGGCCUUCGGGUUGUAAACCGCUUUCGCCUGUGACGAAGCGUGAGUGACGGUAAUGGGUAAAGAAGCACCGGCUAACUACGUG
rnacentral:rRNA from 1 species